AUAAGGUUUUUGUGAGUAGGGAAAUGAAAAGAAAAAAAAAAUUGUGUUGUUGUUUUAAGGAUAAAAACGUGUUGGGCGCCAUGGCGCCAAUGUUACUGAAAAUUAAAUUAUUAUUUUUUUUUUACCUCCAACCUACUCCUUUCCCAUAUUGAUUAGAGUGUUGAUGCAACCAUUUUGAGCAAGACCUACAAAAUAAAGAAAAAAAACGAACUUAUCAAAUUGUCAUAAGAGGAAAAGAACAUGUCAAAAUAAUGAAAAGAAACUUAAGGAAUAGAACUUGGGUUGCCUCCCAAUAAGCGCUUCUUUUACGUCUUUAGCUGGACGUGGAUGUGGUUUCAAGUUGGGUCAUCAAGGGUAAUUUCUUCCACAUCCCAGUUUUCCUCUCCAUAGUAAUGUUUGAGGCGUUACCCAUUUGCCUGAAAGGUAGACCCAUCCUUGCCUAUUAAUUCCACUGCACCAUAAGGGAACACCUUGUGGAUUACAAAUGGUCCUGACCACCGGGAUUUGAGCUUGCCUGGAAAGAGUUUCAAGCGAGAAUUGAAUAGAAGAACCGGUUCUCCUGCCUUGAAAUCCCUCCUUAGUAUUCUCUUGUCAUGUCACAUCUUUGUCCGUUCUUUAUAUAUCUUUGCAUUUUCAUAUGCAUCGUUCCGAAAUUCUUCCAACUCAUCAAACUGCAACAAGCGUUGUGGACCGGCCAAUUUCAUGUCUAAAUUCAAUUUCUUCACAGCCCAAUAAGCUCAAUGCUCCAAUUCUACCUGUAGAUGACAAGCUUUCCCGACUACCAGACGGUAGGGUGACAUUCCAAUUGGAGUUUUAAAUGUUGUUCGGUAUGCCCAAAGAGC
rnacentral:lncRNA from 1 species